rnacentral:rRNA from 1 species
AGCGAACGCUGGCGGCAGGCUUAACACAUGCAAGUCGAGCGGGCAUCCUUGUGGUGUCAGCGGCAGACGGGUGAGUAACGCGUGGGAACGUGCCCUUCGGUUCGGAAUGACUCAGGGAAACUUGAGCUAAUACCGGAUACGUGCGAGAGCAGAAAGGGGUAUCUGCCGAAGGAUCGGCCCGCGUCUGAUUAGCUAGUUGGUGAGGUUACGGCUCACCAAGGCGACGAUCAGUAGCUGGUCUGAGAGGAUGAUCAGCCACACUGGGACUGAGACACGGCCCAGACUCCUACGGGAGGCAGCAGUGGGGAAUAUUGGACAAUGGGGGCAACCCUGAUCCAGCCAUGCCGCGUGAGUGAUGACGGCCUUAGGGUUGUAAAGCUCUUUUCUCCGGGACGAUAAUGACGGUACCGGAGGAAUAAGCCCCGGCUAACUUCGUG